AGCGGGGAUAAGCCACGGUGGCUUGUCAGUCUCAUAAGCUGAUUUUCGUAGGUUCGACUCCUACCCCCGCUACCA
rnacentral:tRNA from 1 species